rnacentral:rRNA from 3 species
UACGGAGGGUGCAAACGUUGCUCGGAAUCAUUGGGCGUAAAGCGCACGUAGGCGGCGCGUUAAGUCGGAUGUGAAAGCCCCGGGCUCAACCCGGGAAGUGCAUACGAAACUGGCGCGCUUGAAUAUGGAAGAGGGUCGCGGAAUUCCCGGUGUAGAGGUGAAAUUCGUAGAUAUCGGGAGGAACACCAGUGGCGAAGGCGGCGACCUGGGCCAAUAUUGACGCUGAGGUGCGAAAGCGUGGGGAGCAAACAGG